ACGGAAGGCAGCAGUGGGGAAUAUUGCACAAUGGGGGAAACCCUGAUGCAGCGACGCCGCGUGAGUGAAGAAGUAUUUCGGUAUGUAAAGCUCUAUCAGCAGGGAAGAAAAUGACGGUACCUGACUAAGAAGCCCCGGCUAACUACGUGCCAGCAGCCGCGGUAACACGUAGGGGGCAAGCGUUAUCCGGAUUUACUGGGUGUAAAGGGAGCGUAGACGGCUUUGCAAGUCUGAUGUGAAAGCCCGGGGCUCAACCCCGGCACUGCAUUGGAAACUGUAGAGCUAGAGUGCAGGAGAGGUAAGUGGAAUUCCUAGUGUAGCGGUGAAAUGCGUAGAUAUUAGGAGGAACACCAGUGGCGAAGGCGGCUUACUGGACUGUAACUGACGUUGAGGCUCGAAAGCGUGGGGAGCAAACAGGAUUAGAUACCCUGGUA
rnacentral:rRNA from 1 species